CUACGUGCCAGCAGCCGCGGUAAUACGUAGGUGGCAAGCGUUGUCCGGAAUUAUUGGGCGUAAAGCGCGCGCAGGCGGAUCAGUCAGUCUGUCUUAAAAGUUCGGGGCUUAACCCCGUGAUGGGAUGGAAACUGCUGAUCUAGAGUAUCGGAGAGGAAAGUAGAAUUCCUAGUGUAGCGGUGAAAUGCGUAGAUAUUAGGAAGAACACCAGUGGCGAAGGCGACUUUCUGGACGAAAACUGACGCUGAGGCGCGAAAGCCAGGGGAGCGAACGGGAUUAGAUACCCCGGUAGUCCUGGCCGUAAACGAUGGGUACUAGGUGUAGGAGGUAUCGACCCCUUCUGUGCCGGAGUUAACGCAAUAAGUACCCCGCCUGGGGAGUACGACCGCAAGGUUGAAACUCAAAGGAAUUGACGGGGGCCCGCACAAGCGGUGGAGUAUGUGGUUUAAUUCGACGCAACGCGAAGAACCUUACCAGGUCU
rnacentral:rRNA from 1 species